rnacentral:rRNA from 1 species
UACAGAGGUGGCAAGCGUUGUUCGGAAUUACUGGGCGUAAAGGGCGCGUAGGCGGUUCGUUAAGUCCUGUGUGAAAUCCCCCGGCUCAACUGGGGAACUGCACAGGAAACUAGCGGGCUUGAGUUCGGGAGAGGGAAGCGGAAUUCCGGGUGUAGCGGUGAAAUGCGUAGAUAUCCGGAGGAACACCGGUGGCGAAGGCGGCUUCCUGGACCGACACUGACGCUGAGGCGCGAAAGCUAGGGGAACAAACGGG